GCCAGUUUGUACAUUUUAAAGCAGGGAAUUGCAAAUCAAUGUCAAGCACUGUGCUACACAGGCUUUGUUCUGGCUGGGGGUAGAACUAAUUUCUGGGCUGUAAAACUGGAUUUUCUGGUAGAGAGCAGAAUUCAUGUUUCCCUCAAUUACUGCAAGCUGCCCAGGCCCUGAAGCCGCAAAUCAUCCCCACACCACCACACUUCCACCACCAUGCUUGACCGUAGCUGUAUUUAGUGUCAAUAUCCCUGCAUGCUGGUUAUCGGAUGUUAUCAGAUGACCCUGAGAACACAGGCAGCUUCAGUGGUGUAGCCAGCAAAAGAGAGCGAAGAACAGCUUUUUCCAGUUUGUAGCUGACUGUUUUCACUUCACAAUCAAGCAUCGAAUUACAAUCGCUCUACUCCAAUGACUCCACUGUGAGUGCUGCAUUGUCUCAAA